GAUGAACGCUAGCGGCAGGCCUAAUACAUGCAAGUCGAACGGGGCGGCAAUGCCCAGUGGCGCACGGGUGCGUAACGCGUAGGCAAUCUGCCUACUCCUGGGGGAUAGCCCGCCGAAAGGUGGAUUAAUACCGCAUAACACUGCAGGGUGGCAUCACCUAACAGUUAAAGAAUUUCGGGAGUAGAUGAGCCUGCGUGCCAUUAGCUAGUUGGUGCGGUAACGGCGCACCAAGGCGACGAUGGCUAGGGGAGCUGAGAGGCCGAUCCCCCACACUGGCACUGAGUGACGGGCCAGACUCCUACGGGAGGCAGGAGUAGGGAAUAUUGGGCAAUGGGCGCGAGCCUGACCCAGCCAUGCCGCGUGACGGAUGAAGGCCUUCUGGGUUGUAAACGUCUUUUGCCCGGGAAGAAAAAACUCUUGCGAGAGGAAUCGACGGUACCGGGUGAAUAAGCACCGGCUAACUCCGUGCCAGCCGCCGCCGUAAGAC
rnacentral:rRNA from 1 species